UUUAUGAUUCAGUCUUGGUAGGUUGUAUCUUUCUAGGAAUUUAUCUAUUUCUUCUUGGUUAUCUGAUUUGUUGAUGUAUAAUUUUUCACAGAAUCACAGUAUCUUGUGGAG